AGUGCGAGUCUUUGGGCCACCUCCCAUCCGUGUCUAUUGUACCCUGUUGCUUCGGCGGGCCCGCCGCUUGUCGGCCGCCGGGGGGGCGCCUCUGCCCCCCGGGCCCGUGCCCGCCGGAGACCCCAACACGAACACUGUCUGAAAGCGUGCAGUCUGAGUUGAUUGAAUGCAAUCAGUUAAAACUUUCAACAAUGGAUCUCUUGGUUCCGGCAUCGAUGAAGAACGCAGCGAAAUGCGAUAACUAAUGUGAAUUGCAGAAUUCAGUGAAUCAUCGAGUCUUUGAACGCACAUUGCGCCCCCUGGUAUUCCGGGGGGCAUGCCUGUCCGAGCGUCAUUGCUGCCCUCAAGCCCGGCUUGUGUGUUGGGUCGCCGUCCCCCUCUCCGGGGGGACGGGCCCGAAAGGCAGCGGCGGCACCGCGUCCGAUCCUCGAGCGUAUGGGGCUUUGUCACAUGCUCUGUAGGAUUGGCCGGCGCCUGCCGACGUUUUCCAACCAUUCUUUCCAGGUUGACCUCGGAUCAGGUAGGGAUACCCGCUGAACUUAAGCAUAUCAAUAAGCGGAGGA
rnacentral:rRNA from 1 species